AGAGCGAACGCUGGCGGCAGGCCUAAUACAUGCAAGUCGAACGCACCUUCGGGUGAGUGGCGGACGGGUGAGUAACACGUGGGAACGUGCCCUUUGGUUCGGAAUAAUCCGGGGAAACCUGGCCUAAUACCUGAUGAGCCCUUCGGGGGAAAGAUUUAUCGCCAUUGGAGCGGCCCGCGUCUGAUUAGCUAGUUGGUGGGGUAAAGGCCCACCAAGGCUACGAUCAGUAGC
rnacentral:rRNA from 1 species